rnacentral:lncRNA from 1 species
GUCAGAUAAUCAUGUGUAUUUAAGAGGACAUUGCUUCUCACCUGCAGUCAACACAAAACUCAGCCUUACCCAUGACUUUGAGUUCAGAACUGAGCAGUUCUUACUGCCUGUUGCUCCAGCUGUUACAACAGGUCAAUGAAUGUGACACCAAAAUGCAAGUUCUCCACAUUAUUUCCUGUGCCAUGGAGAGAGUCAGCAUCCAGGACACUACUUGUUGUCUUUGCACACUGAAAAACACAUAUUGAUGUCAUAUCAUUACCAGACGAUGCUGACUGAGCACAAGGCCACGACCUGCUUUGAAAAUAACCUUUAGCUAUUGCGUGAG